rnacentral:rRNA from 1 species
UGACGAGACAGUCCGUAAGGACCAAGUCACUGAUGCCACGCUUCCAGGAAAAACUUCUAAGCGUCAGAUCACGAGGACCGUACCGCAAUCCGACACAGGUAGGCAGGGUGAGAGUCCCAAGGCGCUUGAGAGAACUCGGGUGAAGGAACUAGGCAACAUGGCACCGUAACUUCGGGAGAAGGUGCGCCUUCAUGGGUGGCCACGUGCGUGGCACAAGCUCGUGGAGGCCGCAGUAACCAGGCCGCUGCGACUGUUUAUCAAAAACACAGCACUCUGCAAACACGAAAGUGGACGUAUAGGGCGUGACGCCUGCCCGGUGCCGGAAGGUUAAUUGAUGGGGUCAGCCGCAAGGCGAAGCUCUUGAUCGAAGCCCCGGUAAACGGCGGCCGUAACGAUAACGGUCCUAAGGUAGCGAAAUUCCUUGUCGGGUAAGUUCCGACCUGCACGAAUGGCGUAACGACAGCGGCGCUGUCUCCACCCGAGACUCAGUGAUAUUGAAAUCGCUGUGAAGAUGCAGCGUUCCCGCGGCAAGACGGAAAGACCCCGUGAACCUUUACUAUAGCUUUACACUGAACGUUGAGUUCUUCUGUGUAGGAUAGGUGGGAGGCUUUGAAGUGCGGCGCUAGCUUGCAUGGAGCCACCCUUGAAAUACCACCCUGAAGUGCUUGACGUUCUAACCUGGGCCCGUAAUCCGGGUCAGGGACCGUGUAUGGUGGGUAGUUUGACUGGGGCGGUCUCCUCCCAAAGAGUAACGGAGGAGCACGAAGGUACGUUCAGCACGGUCGGACAUCGUGCAAUGAGUGCAAAGGCAUAAACGUGCUUGACUGCAAGAUCGACGGAUCAAGCAGGUACGAAAGUAGGUCUUAGUGAUCCGGUGGUUCUGUAUGGAAGGGCCAUCGCUCAACGGAUAAAAGGUACUCCGGGGAUAACAGGCUGAUACCGCCCAAGAGUUCAUAUCGACGGCGGUGUUUGGCACCUCGAUGUCGGCUCAUCACAUCCUGGGGCUGUAGCCGGUCCCAAGGGUAUGGCUGUUCGCCAUUUAAAGUGGUACGCGAGCUGGGUUCAGAACGUCGUGAGACAGUUCGGUCCCUAUCUGCCGUGGGCGUUGGAGAUUUGAGAGGGGCUGCUCCUAGUACGAGAGGACCGGAGUGGACGAACCUCUGGUGUACCGGUUGUCACGCCAGUGGCAUUGCCGGGUAGCUACGUUCGGAAGCGAUAACCGCUGAAAGCAUCUAAGCGGGAAGCGCGCCUCAAGAUGAAAUCUCCCGGGACUUAAAGUCCCCUGAAGGAACGAUGAAGACUACGUCGUGAAUAGGCCGGGUGUGUAAGCGCAGUAAUGCGUUC